AUUUUAUUUAUUUUAAAUUAUGUUUAUUUUAUUUUAUUUUUUUGCGGGGGGAGAAAAAAAAAUUCCACUGGGUCAGACUCUACGGUUAUCUGACCUACUGCGGCUUAACCUAACUUGUCUAAUUCUGCAAUUUUGCUUAGAACAAACACGGCAACAGGCAAGUUUGUUGAGCAGCAGUGACCCAACAUGGCUGCCAGUUAAAAAGUGAUAUUUACAUCAUUUAAAUAAAAAUGUUUUUAAAAAGCCAAUAGGUUUAAUUAAAUAUAAUAAACUUUAAAAAGUAAGUAACAAUUUGAUGGCAGUUGUCCUUAAGGAACCAUCCAACACAAGGUCUUAUUCUUACUGUGUAUGUCCUAAAUAUAAAAAAAUAGAGAGAAAUUCUAUGAUUAAUGUUUUGUUUGUUAAGCAUUAAGUGAGACAGUCACAAACUACACUUUAGCAAACACUUGUAAUUCUGCUUCAUUUAAUAAUUGAUUUGAAAACGCAACCAAAGACUAGCACAAUGAAAUAACCACUCAGGUGAGAGUACUUUAAAUGUCUGGAAAUCCCUGUAGACUAAAUGAAGUAAAGAACACAACAAUGUCUACAUCUUUCUCUUGAGAAUACAUGUUGCCCAUACUGCUUUCACAGUUCCAUUUAACGAGCAAAUGUAAUAACAAUCUGCCUAAAAUCUUUAUUUCACACACUUUUGAUUUUAAAUCUUCGCUUAUGAAGCCUGUCGCAGUCCACUCUCACCUGACACAAUUACAUAAUCCUUUGGGGAAUUAGUAUUUCUCUUAAAUCUGUCAUGCCUUUAUUGGGGUGAUAAUACGUUGGUCUGAAACUUUUUUUAUAUGGAGUUACCCUUUUAGAACACAAUGUGCACAGUAAGAUGCCAUAUUACCACAAUAUGUAUUUAAAUCUGUUCUUGGCUAGAUGACUGAUAUUUAAAUAUAUAUUUUCAGAUAAAUACAGCAUAGCCUAAAUGUUGAAGGGGCACUCUAAGCAAUGUAACUGCUACAGCUCAGUGUAGUGGCCAUACUGUUGGCCGUGUUGGGCAACCUUUUUCUCUCUGCCAUUUUAAGAGCAGUUUGGCAAGAAACAAAAAAAAGGGGGGGGGGCAAGGAGGGUGCUUUUCCAAGGACCAGGAGACCAUCCUUUUUCAACCACAUUGAUAAUGCAGAGUUGACUUAUCAAUGUAGUUUUCAUUCAGCCUUCCUGGUGGUAAAUGGUUGGAGACGGGUUAGUUCAGAAUUCUCAAUUUAGAGUUAUCUCAACGCUGUCCAGGUUUGAUGGAAUCGACAUUAUGUAGACAUGUAAUUUCUACAUUAUCAACAUGACCAAGAAAGGGGAUGGACUUUGGGUGUUGGAGUGAACCCUUAGAUUUUAAGAAAGCACUUGUAAUCGUUUGACCAGCAUUCGUGUGAAGUUAUGAGAGACUAUAGAAACAUAACCACUACAUUGAGCUGUUGCAUUUAUGAUGCUUAGUGUGUACUUAAUGUGAACCUAUUAUGUAUGAGCCUUUUGUGAACCUAAUUUUAUCUUUUAUAAAUUUGUAAUGAUAUAGUCUUAUAUUGCAAGCAAUGUUAAUUAAAUGCAUUGUGAUCAUUAGUGAC